AAUCGACCAGAAUUCUUUGUAGAAUUCUGCAGGAAAGCCGUCUGGACCUGGAGCCUUAUUAUUGGGCAUACUUAUCAGGGCUUCCUGGAGUUCACCUGGUGUCAGUGGUGAAUCCAGUGCCAUUGCUUGAGUGUCCAAUAAUUUUGGAAGAGUUAUGUUGUCCAAAAACUGAUCAAUUUCUUUUUUAGAUGGGUUUAUUUGUGGUGAAUACAACGUUUUAUAGAAAUCCCUGAAAAUGUUGUUUAUUUGUAUCGGAUCAUAUAUUGUGUUCCCAGAUGAAUCUUGAACAGCACAUAUAGUUGUUUUUUCUUUAUUUAUUUUUAGCUGGUUUGCUAGAAAUUGACCGGAUUUAUUACCAUGUUCAUAAUUUUGUAGGCGUAGUCUUUGUACUAAGAAUUUUGUUUUUUAUCAAUUAUCUCAUUUAAUUCUAGUUUUGUUUUGCGUAUUUUGUUCAAUGUUUCCUGAUCUUGGUGGGACGCGUAGGCUUCUUCUAGUGAUUUGAUGUUUUUUUCUAAUUCCUGAAUAUUUUUGUUUUCUUUUUUCUUUUUGUGUGAUGAGAAAGAAAUUAUUUUACCUCUCAUCACAGCUUUCCCUGCUUCCCAUAGAACAGAAGCUGAUGUUUCGGGAGUGUCAUUAUAGUCCAAAUAUGAAGUCCACUCUUUUUUAAAAUAUUUAAUAAAGUCUUCAUCUUUAAGUAGUGAUAUAUUAAAUCUCCAGUUUUUUCUUGGCGUAGUAUUAUUCUUGUGCAUUAGUGUUAAAGAUACAGGACCAUGAUCGCUGACAGCUAUAGGAUGAAUCUCAGUGUCUGAAAUGUCGUUCAGCAGUGAGCUGCUGACCAGAAAAUAAUCCAGACGAGAGUAGGAGUGAUGGACAUGUGAGAAAAAAGUAUAUUCCUUACUGGUGGGGUGAAGGGAGCGCCAUGCAUCGCAAAGACCAAAGUCGCUCAUAUACUGUUUGAUUAUAUUUGUGGACUGCCAAUUACGCUCAGUUCCUGCUGAACUGUAGGGGAGAGCGGGGUAAGUUGUCACACUGUUCAUAACUCCAACACUAGAGGCUCUAUCUCAAAAAUGAAAUAGCCACUUUGUGUGACUUCUUCUUCUAUAGUCAACCUCCUGUUCACAUGUGGUCAAGACUGCUCUAAUCUGAGGUUUUUGAAGAAAGGAAGGAGAGGCAGGAAUUAAGGAAGGAAGGAAGAAAGUAAGAUGGUUCGAAAUUAUCAACGAAAGACAGAGCGUGGCAGAACACCACCUGACAUUAUGUUAAAGGCAGUCAGGCAGCGGACUACCAACUCCAGAGGACAUCCGGCCAUAUCCAAAAGCUGGCCGCCGAAAACCAUCCAGCAAAGGAAGAAAACGACGCAAAUCAGCAAUUCUAACCGACACGCCAGUGAAGCAGCAACUAGAAAAAGAAAAGAAUAAGGCUGAAUCUAGCAAAAAGCUGUUUCAAAAGAGAGGGACGCGAGGGGGGAAAACAUCUGGACCUAUGAAGAACAACGCA
ensembl:lncRNA